rnacentral:rRNA from 1 species
AGGUGGGAGACGUUGAACCUUUUCUUCCGGGAAAGGGGGAGUCAUCAGUGAGAUACCACUCUUGGUAAGCUAGAGCGCUCAUUUUUAACCGUUAUCCGGUAAAAAGACAGUUUCAGGCGGGCAGUUUGACUGGGGCAGUCACCUCCCAAAAGGUAAUGGAGGUGUACAAAGGUUCUCUCAGGCUGGACGGAAAUCAGCCAUAGAGUGUAAAAGCAUAAGAGAGCUUGACUGCGAGACGGACAUGUCAAGCAGAGACGAAAGUCGGUUUUAGUGAUCCGACGGUGCUGAGUGGAAAGGCCGUCGCUCAACGGAUAAAAGUUACUCUAGGGAUAAC